CUCAGAUCAGGAAUCAGCCUAAGCUCCUUUAGCUCCCUCAGAGGCCUGCCCUGCUUUAUGCAUCUUCGACUUGAAACUUCCAGUUGUAAGAGAAAUAUGUUCUGCGGAUGUAAUGCACGACACGAGCUGGAAAGAAGACACCAUAUAGACCUAUAGCCUACCUUACUUGACAAACAUCACCAGAUUCUCUCAGGCAGACGUAAGUGUUUCUUCUAUAUAUUUCUCAAAGCUGGUAAAGGGGCAUUUGUUGAAAAUGCCCCUACUUCCUUCCAUAUGAGACUUUAAGCUUCAUAAGUGGUAGAAGUUUAUUGGUAUCUUCCCAGUGUCUUGGCUGUUGGAUAAGUAUUUGCAAAAAUAAUAAUAAUAAUAACAAAAUAAAAUAAUAAAUGAAUAAAUGUGUGGUCUUUAA
rnacentral:lncRNA from 12 species